UGAGGAAUAUUGGACAAUGGACGAAAGUCUGAUCCAGCUAUGCCGCGUGCAGGAUGACGGCCCUACGGGUUGUAAACUGCUUUUAUACAGGAAGAAACACCCCGACGUGUCGGGGCUUGACGGUACUGUAAGAAUAAGGAUCGGCUAACUCCGUGCCAGCAGCCGCGGUAAUACGGAGGAUUCGAGCGUUAUCCGGAAUCAUUGGGUUUAAAGGGUCCGCAGGCGGUUUUUUAAGUCAGAGGUGAAAUCCUGCAGCUCAACUGUAGAAUUGCCUUUGAUACUGAAAGACUUGAGUUAUUGUGAAGUGGUUAGAAUGUGUGGUGUAGCGGUGAAAUGCAUAGAUAUCACACAGAAUACCGAUUGCGAAGGCAGAUCACUAACAAUAUACUGACGCUCAUGGACGAAAGCGUGGGUAGCGAACAGG
rnacentral:rRNA from 1 species